rnacentral:rRNA from 1 species
UACGGGGGGAGCAAGCGUUGUUCGGAUUUACUGGGCGUCAAGGGCGCGUAGGCGGCCACCGCAAGUCGACUGUGAAAUCUCCGGGCUUAACCCGGAAAGGUCAGCCGAUACUGCGGGGCUAGAGUGCAGAAGGGGCAACUGGAAUUCUCGGUGUAGCGGUGAAAUGCGUAGAUAUCGAGAGGAACACCUGCGGCGAAGGCGGGUUGCUGGGCUGACACUGACGCUGAGGCGCGAAAGCUAGGGGAGCGAACGGG